UUGUCCUGAUAAUCUGCUAUUUUGGGAUCCAGGAAGUCUACAAGAUCAGACGUUCUUUCUCCAGUUCUUUGAUAUAGUUUGUUAUUAUCCCAUGGCAGAAUUACAGGACUACAGAGGCUGGCUAUGGAUGACAGUCGUGCGUCUGGCCUGCUGCUCAGCACAUCCACACAGGAGCUGAGGGAUCAUCCUUGCACAGCCCAUCCUGGAAGAGGAGAGUUCUUUGA